GACGAAGGUGGCGAGCGUUGUUCGGAAUCACUGGGCAUAAAGCGCACGUAGGCGGUGUCGUAAGUCGGGUGUGAAAUCCCUCGGCCUAACCGAGGAACUGCGCCCGAUACUGCGAUGCUCGAGGACCAGAGGGGUGCAUGGAAUUUCCGGUGGAGCGGUGAAAUGCGUUGAUAUCGGAAGGAACUCCGGCGGCGAAAGCGAUGCACUGGCUGGUUUCUGACGCUGAGGUGCGAAAGCCAGGGGAGCAAACGGG
rnacentral:rRNA from 1 species